rnacentral:rRNA from 1 species
AUUGAACGCUGGCGGCAUGCUUUACACAUGCAAGUCGAACGGUAACAGGGAGCUUGCUCCGCUGACGAGUGGCGAACGGGUGAGUAAUGCGUCGGAACGUGCCGAGUAGUGGGGGAUAACGCAGCGAAAGUUGUGCUAAUACCGCAUACGUACUGAGGUAGAAAGUGGGGGACCUUCGGGCCUCACGCUAUUCGAGCGGCCGACGUCUGAUUAGCUAGUAGGUGAGGUAAAGGCUCACCUAGGCGACGAUCAGUAGCGGGUCUGAGAGGAUGAUCCGCCACACCGGGACUGAGACACGGCCCAGACUCCUACGGGAGGCAGCAGUGGGGAAUUUUGGACAAUGGGCGAAAGCCUGAUCCAGCCAUGCCGCGUGUCUGAAGAAGGCCUUCGGGUUGUAAAGGACUUUUGUCGGGGAGGAAAUCCCCAGCGUUAAUACCGCUGGGGGAUGACAGUACCUGAAGAAUAAGCACCGGCUAACUACGUGCCAGCAGCCGCGGUAAUAC